GGGUUGUGAGGUUAAGCGACUAAGCGUACACGGUGGAUGCCCUGGCAGUCAGAGGCAAUGAAGGACGUGCUAAUCUGCGAUAAGCGUCGGUAAGGUGAUAUGAACCGUUAUAACCGGCGAUUUCCGAAUGGGGAAACCCAGUGUGUUUCGACACACUAUCAUUAACUGAAUCCAUAGGUUAAUGAGGCGAACCGGGGGAACUGAAACAUCUAAGUACCCCGAGGAAAAGAAAUCAACCGAGAUUCCCCCAGUAGCGGCGAGCGAACGGGGAGCAGCCCAGAGCCUGAAUCAGUGUGUGUGUUAGUGGAAGCGUCUGGAAAGGCGCGCGAUACAGGGUGACAGCCCCGUACACAAAAAUGCACAUGCUGUGAGCUCGAUGAGUAGGGCGGGACACGUGGUAUCCUGUCUGAAUAUGGGGGGACCAUCCUCCAAGGCUAAAUACUCCUGACUGACCGAUAGUGAACCAGUACCGUGAGGGAAAGGCGAAAAGAACCCCGGCGAGGGGAGUGAAAAAGAACCUGAAACCGUGUACGUACAAGCAGUGGGAGCACGCUUAGGCGUGUGACUGCGUACCUUUUGUAUAAUGGGUCAGCGACUUAUAUUCUGUAGCAAGGUUAACCGAAUAGGGGAGCCGAAGGGAAACCGAGUCUUAACUGGGCGUUAAGUUGCAGGGUAUAGACCCGAAACCCGGUGAUCUAGCCAUGGGCAGGUUGAAGGUUGGGUAACACUAACUGGAGGACCGAACCGACUAAUGUUGAAAAAUUAGCGGAUGACUUGUGGCUGGGGGUGAAAGGCCAAUCAAACCGGGAGAUAGCUGGUUCUCCCCGAAAGCUAUUUAGGUAGCGCCUCGUGAAUUCAUCUCCGGGGGUAGAGCACUGUUUCGGCAAGGGGGUCAUCCCGACUUACCAACCCGAUGCAAACUGCGAAUACCGGAGAAUGUUAUCACGGGAGACACACGGCGGGUGCUAACGUCCGUCGUGAAGAGGGAAACAACCCAGACCGCCAGCUAAGGUCCCAAAGUCAUGGUUAAGUGGGAAACGAUGUGGGAAGGCCCAGACAGCCAGGAUGUUGGCUUAGAAGCAGCCAUCAUUUAAAGAAAGCGUAAUAGCUCACUGGUCGAGUCGGCCUGCGCGGAAGAUGUAACGGGGCUAAACCAUGCACCGAAGCUGCGGCAGCGACGCUUAUGCGUUGUUGGGUAGGGGAGCGUUCUGUAAGCCUGCGAAGGUGUGCUGUGAGGCAUGCUGGAGGUAUCAGAAGUGCGAAUGCUGACAUAAGUAACGAUAAAGCGGGUGAAAAGCCCGCUCGCCGGAAGACCAAGGGUUCCUGUCCAACGUUAAUCGGGGCAGGGUGAGUCGACCCCUAAGGCGAGGCCGAAAGGCGUAGUCGAUGGGAAACAGGUUAAUAUUCCUGUACUUGGUGUUACUGCGAAGGGGGGACGGAGAAGGCUAUGUUGGCCGGGCGACGGUUGUCCCGGUUUAAGCGUGUAGGCUGGUUUUCCAGGCAAAUCCGGAAAAUCAAGGCUGAGGCGUGAUGACGAGGCACUACGGUGCUGAAGCAACAAAUGCCCUGCUUCCAGGAAAAGCCUCUAAGCAUCAGGUAACAUCAAAUCGUACCCCAAACCGACACAGGUGGUCAGGUAGAGAAUACCAAGGCGCUUGAGAGAACUCGGGUGAAGGAACUAGGCAAAAUGGUGCCGUAACUUCGGGAGAAGGCACGCUGAUAUGUAGGUGAGGUCCCUCGCGGAUGGAGCUGAAAUCAGUCGAAGAUACCAGCUGGCUGCAACUGUUUAUUAAAAACACAGCACUGUGCAAACACGAAAGUGGACGUAUACGGUGUGACGCCUGCCCGGUGCCGGAAGGUUAAUUGAUGGGGUUAGCGCAAGCGAAGCUCUUGAUCGAAGCCCCGGUAAACGGCGGCCGUAACUAUAACGGUCCUAAGGUAGCGAAAUUCCUUGUCGGGUAAGUUCCGACCUGCACGAAUGGCGUAAUGAUGGCCAGGCUGUCUCCACCCGAGACUCAGUGAAAUUGAACUCGCUGUGAAGAUGCAGUGUACCCGCGGCAAGACGGAAAGACCCCGUGAACCUUUACUAUAGCUUGACACUGAACAUUGAGCCUUGAUGUGUAGGAUAGGUGGGAGGCUUUGAAGUGUGGACGCCAGUCUGCAUGGAGCCGACCUUGAAAUACCACCCUUUAAUGUUUGAUGUUCUAACGUUGACCCGUAAUCCGGGUUGCGGACAGUGUCUGGUGGGUAGUUUGACUGGGGCGGUCUCCUCCUAAAGAGUAACGGAGGAGCACGAAGGUUGGCUAAUCCUGGUCGGACAUCAGGAGGUUAGUGCAAUGGCAUAAGCCAGCUUGACUGCGAGCGUGACGGCGCGAGCAGGUGCGAAAGCAGGUCAUAGUGAUCCGGUGGUUCUGAAUGGAAGGGCCAUCGCUCAACGGAUAAAAGGUACUCCGGGGAUAACAGGCUGAUACCGCCCAAGAGUUCAUAUCGACGGCGGUGUUUGGCACCUCGAUGUCGGCUCAUCACAUCCUGGGGCUGAAGUAGGUCCCAAGGGUAUGGCUGUUCGCCAUUUAAAGUGGUACGCGAGCUGGGUUUAGAACGUCGUGAGACAGUUCGGUCCCUAUCUGCCGUGGGCGCUGGAGAACUGAGGGGGGCUGCUCCUAGUACGAGAGGACCGGAGUGGACGCAUCACUGGUGUUCGGGUUGUCAUGCCAAUGGCACUGCCCGGUAGCUAAAUGCGGAAGAGAUAAGUGCUGAAAGCAUCUAAGCACGAAACUUGCCCCGAGAUGAGUUCUCCCUGACCCUUUAAGGGUCCUGAAGGAACGUUGAAGACGACGACGUUGAUAGGCCGGGUGUGUAAGCGCAGCGAUGCGUUGAGCUAACCGGUACUAAUGAACCGUGAGGCUUAACCUUACAACGCCGAAGCUGUU
rnacentral:rRNA from 1 species